rnacentral:rRNA from 1 species
UACGUAGGCAGCGAGCGUUGUUCGGAAUUACUGGGCGUAAAGAGUGUGUAGUCGGGGCUCUCAGUUCGGUGUGAAAUCUCCUGGCUCAACUGGGAGGGUGCGCCGGAAACUGGAGUGCUUGAGCGUGGGAGAGGAAAGCGGAAUUCCUGGUGUAGCGGUGAAAUGCGUAGAUAUCAGGAGGAACACCUGUGGUGUAGACGGCUUUCUGGACCAUAGCUGACGCUGAGACACGAAAGCGUGGGUAGCAAACAGG